rnacentral:lncRNA from 1 species
GUUUUUUUUUUUUUUUUUUUUUUUUUUUUUUUUUUUUUUUUUUUUUUUUUUUUUUUGUUUUUUUUUUUUGUUUUUUUUUUUUUUUUUUUUUUUUUUUUUUUUUUUUUUUUUUUUUUUUUUUUUUUUUUUUUUUUUUUUUUUUUUUUUUUUUUUUUUUUUUUUUUUUUUUUUUUUUUUUUUUUUUAUUUUUGUGUUUUUUUUUUUUGUAUGUGU